CCUACGGGAGGCAGCAGUGGGGAAUAUUGCGCAAUGGGCGAAAGCCUGACGCAGCAACGCCGCGUGAGGGAUGACGGCCUUCGGGUUGUAAACCUCUUUCAGCAGGGAAGAAGCGAAAGUGACGGUACCUGCAGAAGAAGCACCGGCUAACUACGUGCCAGCAGCCGCGGUAAUACGUAGGGUGCAAGCGUUGUCCGGAUUUAUUGGGCGUAAAGAGCUCGUAGGCGGUUAGUCACGUCGGAUGUGAAAUCCCGGAGCUUAACUCCGGGCCUGCAUUCGAUACGGGCUGACUCGAGUAUUGUAGGGGAGACUGGAACUCCUGGUGUAGCGGUGAAAUGCGCAGAUAUCAGGAAGAACACCGGUGGCGAAGGCGGGUCUCUGGGCAAUUACUGACGCUGAGGAGCGAAAGCGUGGGGAGCAAACAGGAUUAGAUACCCUGGUAGUCCACGCCGUAAACGGUGGGCGCUAGGUGUGGGGACCCUUCCACGGUCUCCGUGCCGCAGCUAACGCAUUAAGCGCCCCGCCUGGGGAGUACGGCCGCAAGGCUAAAACUCAAAGUAGUAAGUACGGCGUGAGACGACGCGACGACGACGACGACGGAGGAGGAG
rnacentral:rRNA from 1 species